UUUUGCUUCUAAUUGACUGGUACAAUCAUUGAAUUGAUGAUUCCCAUUGUCCUUUUCUGCAUCCCAGGUACAACAAAAGAAAACCAGAAGAGCAUUGCCAAGUCAGAACUAGCAGUUCUCACAGAUACUUAUGGCAACCAAGCAGGCACAGGCGCCAUCUUUUGAUCCCAUGAUCUCCAGAGACUCAACAUUCUGCAAGAUGAAAUCAGCUCUGAAACUCUCAGCUCCUCAGAUCAUUUCCCAUACCACCCUUCCCCUGACUCCAGCUUCUUCUUAUGUAUUGUCUUUCUCCACCAUAUUGUGAGGUCCUCGGAGGCAGGAACUGUCAUAUCUUUCUUUGUAUUCCCAGCAGUUAGCACAGUUCCCAGCACAUAGUAGGUACUUAAAAAAGGUUUAUUGACUCUAAAAUACUUAUAUCUGCUUUCUCUUCUGUAAAAUGGGAAUGGUACCAAUUAACACUUACCUUAUCUUGUGGUUAUGAGGAUUAAAUGAGGUAACAUGUAAAGGACUUUGCAAAUCUUGAAGUGCUAUAUAAAUGUUAGCUAUUAAUAAAUAUGACCAAAGGGCAUAAAAUAAAUGGUUU
rnacentral:lncRNA from 1 species